GUGAUAAGUCCUUAAUAAGGCCUGUUCCCAUGGCCCCUGCCUUGCAGACUGAAAUUAGAUCAGAAGAAAAUAUGGACAUUAGUGAUAUGUCCCAAUUUGUUGUUGCUUGGAAGGGGCAGUUUCUAAACUUCAGAGACUGAGACAAACUUCAGACAAAGAAUCUGCUUUUAGAUCUAUAGCAUGAAGAGCUGAUGUGUUUGUGCAGAGGAAACCAACUGAUCUAUUUAAGUGUAAGGCUGUACAAAUACAAAUGAAUAAAAAUGUAUCUGGAGGUUGGAUAAAGUAAAUGUAAUAAGCUCAAUGAAUAUUAUACAAAAAACAUUAAUUCUGAAAUAAA